ACCACGAGUUAUGAUCCAGAGUACCACGAGACACGUGAAACCUUGUGGGAAGCAGGGAGGACCACCUCCCAAGGCUAAAUACUACCUGAUGACCGAUAGUGAAGCAGUACCGUGAGGGAAAGGUGAAAAGAACCCCGGGAGGGGAGUGAAAUAGAACCUGAAACCGUGUGCCUACAACCGCUCAGAGCCCCUUAUGAGGGUGAUGAGGUGCUUUUUGUAGAACGAGCCAACGAGUUACGGUAUGUAGCAAGGUUAAGUACUUAAGGUACGGAGCCGAAGGGAAACCGAGUCUGAAUAGGGCGACUAGUUGCAUGCCGUAGACCCGAAACCGGGUGACCUAUCCAUGGCCAGGUUGAAGCGAGGGUAAAACCUCGUGGAGGACCGAACCACGUUGCUGUUGAAAAAGCAUGGGAUGAGCUGUGGAUAGCGGAGAAAUUCCAAUCGAACCCGGAGAUAGCUGGUUCUCUCCGAAAUAGCUUUAGGGCUAGCGUCGAGUAUGAGUAGUGGAGGUAGAGCACUGAAUGGGCUAGGGGGCAUAGCGCUUACCGAACCUUAUCAAACUCCGAAUGCCACAUACUUUGAGCUCGGCAGUCAGACUACGAAUGAUAAGAUCCGUGGUCAAAAGGGAAACAGCCCAGAUCGUCAGCUAAGGUCCCAAAGUGUAAGUUAAGUGGGAAAGGAUGUGAGAUUUCUAAGACAACUAGGAUGUUGGCUUAGAAGCAGCCAUUCAUUAAAAGAGUGCGUAAUAGCUCACUAGUCGAGAGAUCUUGCGCCGAAAAUGUAACGGGGCUAAACUUACC
rnacentral:rRNA from 1 species